AUCUUAUUUUCAUCUUGUUCUGGUUCCUGCAGUCUGAUCCUCAAAUAGUUAAAGGUUUUACAAUAACCCCUGCACCUCUUUUAUUAAUUCCUGUUUUGCCCCUUCCUAAAUCUAAAUUCUAGUUGCCAGUGAGCAGCGGGGGUAAAGUUAAUUCUAACUUUGACAUGGAUAUGGGACCUGUGGAUGUAGAUAUGGAAGGUCUAGGUGUACUAGGAGAUCUAGCAGAAUAUAUAUCCCCCCAUGUGUCUAGUAUAGUGGGAAAGGAGCUAAAACAAAUCCUGCUAACAAAGGUGAAGGAAACUUUCUUAAAGGAAGUGGAGAGAAGGAUACCAGGGAUAUCAACUCUUCUUAGCAGAAGCUAAUCCUAUAGAGAAGGAUACCAGGGAUAUCAACUCUUCUUAGCAGAAGCUAAUCCUACAGCUACAGUCACAGAAAACAUGACAGCUAUAAAGAGAUAAAUAAAAGAUCGUCUUUGAUAUUCGCCGACCCGCAACCUGGAACCAUAAUUCAAAUAUCGCGAAAUUCCCCUUGUAUGGUCCUUGCAUUCCCAAAUUGUGGUCUGCCUUUUGUGCUUUCCAUAUUACACCCUGAAUCGGUCUUUGAUAAUUUAAUAUGAAAAUUAAACUUAAUAUUGUAGAGGUAAUCGCCAUAGCUUUCAAAACAUGAUGAUCAUUGAUCAUCAGCUUAUGCGUGCUCAAAAUAAUAUUAGCUUUCUUGCGUAAACUAACAGAGAACUUACGUUUAAUCCAAAAUAUUGUAAAAUCAUUUACACUGAAAAGAAAUUAAUUAAAAACAAAUUACAAAAAAUAAACAAGAAUGGAUGAAUUGUAAGAAUUUAACAAAGCUAAACGAUCAAGUUCUACAAGAUCCCUAUAACUCCUCCUUUAAAGAGCAGUCUUUUGUGAUUAUACUAUUCCAUAACAUGGGAAGUUGCUCUUUUUCAGAAAGACAUGCUUCAUGGAACAUUUAAUAAACAAAAAUCCUAAAAACUACUAAAAAUAACGUGUUAAAUAACAGUGGUGCUAAAAAAUAACUCGGAAGAAAAUCCCCAAGAAUAUCGGUUAAAUUUGUAUUUGGUUACCAACAAAGGACGAGACGACUGA